rnacentral:lncRNA from 1 species
GGGGAGAGGGGGGGUCAGGGGGGGACACGGGGGUCAGGGGGAUUAGAGGGGUCAGGGGGGACAGAGGGGUCAGGGGGGACACGGGGGACAUGGAGGGGACACAGGGGUCAGGGGGGACAUGGGGGGGACACGGGUCAGGAGGGAGAGAGGGGAUACAGGGGACAGAGAGGACAUGGGGGGACACAGAGGACACGGGGGACGCAGGUGGGAGGGGACACGGGGGUCAGGGGGACAGAGGGGACAUGGGGGGACACGGGUCGGGGGGACAGAGGGCUCAGAGGGACAGAGGGGACACAGGGGGUGACAUGGAGUUGGGGGCCACGGGGCUACAGGGGGCUGUGGGAGUUGGGGGCCACAGGGGGGACACAGGAGGGUCCCCACAGUGGGUCUGGGGUCCCCACGGGGGAUCUGGGGUCACCUUGCUGACCUUGAUGGUGCCCCUGGGAAGCCGGGCAGGGAUGGGGCUGGGGCUUGGGUCUGGGGUCCCUGUUAUGGGUCUGGGGUCCCUGUUAUGGGUUUGGGGUCCCUGCCAUGGGCCAGGCCGUGGGUCUGGGGUCACCUUGCUGACCUUGAUGGUGCCCCAGGGAAGCCGGGCAGGGAUGGGGUUGGGUUGGUGUUACGGGCUGCCCCAUGGGUCUGGGGUCCCUGUUAUGGGUCUGGGGUCCCUGUCAGGGGUCUGGGGUCACCUUGCUGAUCUUGAUGGCGCAGGGCGCCCCCGGGAAGCCGGGCAGGCAGGUUUUGAAGGCCGACAGCUCCGAGAAGGGCCCGCGGCCGCAGGCGUUCAGCCCGGCCACGCGGAACUUGUAGGCCGUGCCCGGCUGCAGCUCCUGGCGGCGCAGCUGGGAGUGGUCCGGGACCCCCGAGCCCUCCUCCUGGGGGACACCGCGGGGACACCGUGGGGACACCGUGGGGACACGGCCACAGCAACCCCCCAGACCCAGGGACACGGACAGAGAAACCCCCCAGACCCACGGACACGGACAGAGAAACCCCCCGGACAUUGGGGACGGCUCCUGGGACCCCCGAGCUCUCCUCCUGGGGGACACCGCGGGGACAUCGCGGGGACACCGUGGGGACAGAGAACCCAGGGGUGUCCCCAGCGCCACAGGGGUGUCCCCAGGGGUGUCCCCAGGGGUGUCCCUGGGGUGUCCCCAGCGCCACAGGGGUGUCCCCAGGGGUGUCCCCAGGGGUGUCCCUGGGGUGUCCCCAGCGCCACAGGGGUGUCCCUGCUACCAUAAAGCUGUCCCCAAGGGGGUGUCCUCAAUGCCACAGGCCUGUCCCUGGGUGUCCCCAGAGCUGUCCCCGUGUCCCCAGGGCUGUCCCCGGGGCUGUCCCCAUGCCCCCUGGAGCUGUCCCCGUGUCCCCAGGGCUGUCCCUGGAGCUGUCCUCAGGACUGUCCCCAGAGCUGUCCC